GUCUAUGACCACACCACCCUUACAGCACUGGAUCUCAUCUGAUCUCAGAAGCUAAGCAGGGUUGGGCCUGGUUAGUACUUGGAUGGGAAACAGUCUUCGCAGAUG
rnacentral:rRNA from 1 species